rnacentral:lncRNA from 1 species
CAGAUUGGCUUUAUCUGAAUGGAAGUAAAACUUUACUAUGUGAUUUUUAAUUAUAAUGAUAUGCUAACACAACUGAUAUUUAUUUAUAAUUUUAUAGUUUACACAGCUGUUUCAAAUGUAUGCUAUAUCAAACAAGGAAUCAAAAGUUCAGAGAGUCAAGAUAACUACAUGGCCACAUCUCACUCAUUUCUCUGAUGUCUUUUACCAACGUGACUGGGCUGAUUUCCAUCUCUUUACACUUGUCCUAAAUUUCUUCUCCCUUCAAGAUUCUGUAAAAGGCACCAGGCUCAUUUUCUGCUAUCUGUAAUUCGAAUGUGCUUUCCUUGAUUCAAGAUCCAUUGCUGGAGGAAUAACAUUUUCAUUAGGAAAUACAAUAUGAUUUCCGCUGAACAAAGUCUUUGACCACCACCUGGUCACACUGGAAUCUCCAUGCUGAUUGACUAGAAACCAAAAAAAAGAGUCACUUUAUUGGCAAGACUGAAGACAUGAUUAAUAUGAACAGCUAAAGUUGAUGCUAUAUAACACAGUCUGCAAAGAAUAUAACCAAAAUUUAAGGAUUCACUGGGGUGUCUCUUGGUGCUUCUCUGUCCAGUGAAACAGUAAACAAUCAGUUUCAAGAAGCUUACUGACCGUGCCUCAAUGACAAAGAUUUAAAUCAUCCGAUCAGGCAUUUAACCAGGACCAGCUGAAGUAACGAUCAAGGGUGAAAGUAAUCUA